UGCACACCUUUCGCAAACACCUCGAUGAGGUUCUUGUCCACCGAAAGCUUGUUCAGAGUAAGGGUUCCUGUCUUAUCACUGCAGAGGACAUCCAUGCCAGCCAUUUCCUCUAUAGCCGUCAUUCUCUUUGUGAUAGCUCCCUGCUGAGAAAGUCGAUGAGAGCCAAUUGCCAUCGUGACCGACAGAACAGUCGGCAUAGCAAUGGGAAUCCCUCCAAUGAGAAGGACCAAGAGAUUGUCGAUCCCUGGACGGUACUUACGGUGUUGGAUCGGAUACAUAACAAUGAUCUCUAUAAACAUACCCACCGCAAUCGAACAAAUGCAAAAGUUCCCAAUUGCG
rnacentral:misc_RNA from 1 species